CCACCCUCACCGCGCAUCACCUCGAAGGAAUCCACCUCAGCCACAAGCUCGCCGGCGACGGGAUCGGUGCCGGACCAGUUCACCAGGGCCUGCCACCGUGUCAUCGCGAUGGUCAGGCGAUGACCCAAGCGCGCGGCUCUGCCAACGACUCCGGUGCGAAGUACCAGCUCGCCGUCGGAAGCAUCAAGAGUCCACACCGCGUCGCUCACGCCACGACUGUAUUCAGACGACCUGCCUG
rnacentral:sRNA from 3 species